rnacentral:rRNA from 1 species
GACGAACGCUGGCGGCGUGCCUAAUACAUGCAAGUAGAACGCACAGUUUAUACCGUAGCUUGCUGCACCAUAGACGGUGAGUUGCGAACGAGUGAGUAACGCUGAGGUAACCUUCCUGGUAGCGUCAGAUAACUAUUGGAAACGCUAGCUAAUACCUCAUGAUAUUGAUUAUUGCAUGAUAAUUUAUUGAAAGAUGCUAUUGCAUCACUACCAGAUGGACCUGCGUUGUAUUAGCUAGUAGGUGAGGUAACGGCGCACCUAGGCGACGAUACGUAGCCGCCCGGAGAUGGUGGUCGGCCACACUGGGACUGAGACACGGCCCAGACUGCUACGGGAGGCAGCAGUAGGGAAUCGUCGGGAAUGGACGAAAGUCUGAGCGAGAAACGCCGAGUGAGGGAAGAAGGUUGUCGGAUCGGAAAGCUCGGUUGUAAGAGAAGAAAGGGUGUGAGAGUGGAAAGUACACAGUGUGACGGUAUCUGACCAGAAAGGGACGGCUAACUACGUG